CUUAAAUGCCAGCUGCACUCAUCAGCAGGAUCCAGGACAGGUGUGUGAAGAAGGCUCCGCCCCUGCCACUCUGACUCUGGAAGGAAGCUUGGGAAGAAAUCUCAAAGCAUCCUCUCCAAGCCGGAGAUGCCUCCUCUGCUAUGAGACCCUGUGACUUCCUGAACCCUCAAAGACAGAGUGGGUUUGUGUGCUGUCAGUGAAUCAAAUCAAACACAAAUACACUCAUCAGCCUUUCCUACCUCCCCCAGAAAAUACUGCAUACAUUUCCUCUUGUCAACACACACACAGAAGACCUAAUAUCAGGGAUGUCACCCACGCUUUAACAUGUCAGCUUGUCCUCAGAAGGACUUCUUUGCUUACUUAUUUUUGUUUGAUGGAGUGUUUAGAGAAGUUUCCUUUUCCUUUGGGCUGCUGAAGUCUCAUGUGGUUGCGAUAAAUCCUCCACAAGCUUGAAAAGAACACAGAUGUUUGUACAGCCAAGCCUGCCUUUACUGUUUUCUUUUUCUAAAAUGAUUCAUGAUUUCACAGUUUUAGUUCCUCCCACAGGGAACCAGCAGAAGACAUUGGUGUGCAGCAAACGAUAAAAGUGGAGACAAUAGAUGAUGAUGUUGGUUUUUCUAAAACAAGACAUCACAGCUACGCUUUCUACAGUUUACAUACACUCAAGCUUGAUUGAAAUUUAUGUUUGAAAGCCAGGUCUGUUCCAGGAGACAAAUGAAGUUAAUAAGGCUCUUCCAUUUCUGGUAGGAAGAAUGGUCACAUAUUGAAAAGAGUAUGCCAGGGGCAACUUGCAUUUCAAUAUAACCUUUGGGGAGGGCUGUGUAUGCAUACUAUAUUUGUACUUGCAUAAUUCUAACCUUUGUGCAUUAAAAAAACUACAUUCGAUUAUUCAAACCUGCGUAUCUUAUUUUUUUAAAUCAUCAAAGUUGAAAAACAAUGGUUCGAAUGCAUCUUUAAAGGCCCAAUAAUUUAGGUCUCACCGUGAAUGUAAUAAGCUUUUAACCAGAACUCUAAGUAAAGAUGAAUCAGUGGACAUUUUUUAAUUUUUAAUUUAACAUGUUCUUAUCUUUGUUUUAUUAGUGGAUUAAAAGCAAUGGAAUAGUAUGAAACCUUUCAGUGGCAGGUGACAGGAAAUCAUUGGUUGUAGUCCAAACAAACAUCUUCUGGCAUCAACUGGUAAGUAAAACAAUACAAUGCACAAUAAAAAGAUUGAUCAAUGAAAUAUC